GCGAAAUUAAGCUCGAGAUUCUCCAUAGACAAUAAGUGGGGUAUAGAUAAUGUUUUAUUUAUAUAGAACGUUACUUUACUAUGCUUUUCAUAAGUGGAUGGGAAGGUCUGAGAUGCCUUUACAUUCUUUUGAAUGUAUUCUUAGAAGUAUUAGUUGAAAUAACUAACGCCACCUAACAGAAAUUCGUUGGAAUUUUUUUUUUCAACUUGAAAAUGGGUCGGCCGGCACGUGGAGUAAAAAUGUCCUCGGAUUAUUUUUAUAUCUAAUUAAGUCCAAUUCUCGAGACGUUGAAUCAUAGAUUAACGAACUCAAUUCAGACUACUCUAAUUUCGC
rnacentral:RNase_P_RNA from 1 species